rnacentral:rRNA from 1 species
UACGGGGGGGGCAAGCGUUGUUCGGAAUUACUGGGCGUAAAGGGCUCGUAGGUGGCCAACUAAGUCGGACGUGAAAUCCCUCAGCUUAACUGGGGAACUGCGUCCGAUACUGGAUGGCUUGAGUUCGGGAGAGGGAUGCGGAAUUCCAGGUGUAGCGGUGAAAUGCGUAGAUAUCUGGAGGAACACCGGUGGCGAAGGCGGCAUCCUGGACCAACACUGACACUGAGGAGCGAAAGCCAGGGGAGCAAACGGG